UUUUACAAUUUGCACCUGUUGGCGUUCUAUUUAAGCCUCGAGCAAGCCGAUAAGAUUUACUUCAGUGUCACUUACGUUGCACGAGAGCCGGUAAUCUAUCAAGCGAGGUAAAGGUAAAGGUAAAGGAUUGAGAGUUGCGAUAUUGGAUUGUUGUGGCUAUAAAAUUAGCACAACAGUCUUUAGCUAAUAGGUUGUUGGUAACAAGUUAGUGCCACAACCUAAAUUCUUUCUUUAGGGUGUUACUUUUCAGCCUCGGUUCGAGGUCUGUUUUCUUUGAGUUGCUCCGUUUUCUGCUCAGGCAGUUUUGUUUUAUUUUCAGAAAGUUCAUACUCCUUAAGCUUUAGUUUUUUACCCAGUAUGUGGGUUGUUUUGAGCUUUUCUUUGGGAUACUCUCCCUUAGGAGGACUGUUUUCCUUUCCUUUCCUUUUUAUUUUUCCACUGUCCUUUUGUCUCUUGAGACUUUGUGGUUAUUCUACCUUUGGUGAAUAGCUUAAAGAACCCCCCUGUUCAGCCGUGGUUGGUCUCCCAAAACCCCCACUCCCUCAAUUUUUCCCUUGCUCCAAAACCUGACACAUGUCCAUAGUACUUGUUUGAGGGUCUUGUCCCUGUUUCCAUUCUUCAUUUUUACCUGGCUUAAUAAAGAAAGCUAAUGGCUAAAGCUAAAGUCAGAACAUCUGCACAGCUAACGUUUAUCGUUGCCAAGUCAACCAGACAGCCGACUGCAUGCAUGAUCUGAAUGUAGGCUAAAUAAUGGAACGGAUUGGGAAAGAUUUGUUAUUCCUGUUUGAUUCUAAUGAUUUAUGGUUGCACAGUAUAGCUAUUUUAUCAAUCUCUUAAAUAUAGGCAGUGCUAGUUUCCAUUUUAUAUUGCAAAUAAUGAUAUGUAUUAUUUUCUCACACAGCAUGGGUAUAAUCACCUGGAAUCAACCCCUCCAGCUUUUGAAACCGUAUGGCCUCGGGUCUUACACCCCACCUGACAAAUCAUGACAAUACCCCCGGGCACACAUCUAGGUCCAUAUCGAAUUGGUUUUGUCGAGAACAGUGUGGAAGAACUUGACUGGCCUGCACAGAGCCCUGACCUCAACCCCAUCCGACACCUUUUGGAUCCAGUGGAAAGCUAACUGUGAGCCAGCCCUAAUUGCCCAAUCAAUGCCCAACCUCACUAAUGCUCUUUUGAGUGAACGGAAGCAAAUCCCUUAUGCAGUGCUUUAACAUCUGGUAUAAAGCCUUCCCAGAAGAGUGGAGGUUGUUAUAGCAGCAAUGGGUGGACAAACUCCAUAUUAAUGACCAUAAUUUUGAAUGAGAUGUUAGAUGUCAGGUGUCCACAUACUUUUGGCCAUAUAGUGUAUAUAUGACGAGAAAGGAAUAGGACACUUAUCGGAAGUUCACUACUUUGCCAUCAGAGUUGCCAAUUUCCACCGUCUGUGAAAUGUCUCUACCUAUGGGUCAUAGUUUGUGUAAAUGUGCUUGUUUUUGCAUCAAAUUUG